UAAUAAGUGUUUUAUGGCACUUUUUAAAUCCAUAUCCACCUUGUGUGCAAUGUCAGUCGAUUCUUUCUUCAUGAGAUCGACCAAACAUCAACUUAUUCUAAUUGAACUUUUGUCUGAAAACUAUUAUGAAUAAACUAAUUCAAAAUA
rnacentral:misc_RNA from 1 species